rnacentral:misc_RNA from 1 species
AGCAGCCGCGGUAAUUCCAGCUCCAAUAGCGUAUAUUAAAGUUGCUGCAGUUAAAAAGCUCGUAGUUGAAUUUCGGGACUAAUAUGUCGGUCGUGCCUCGGUACGUACUGGCUUAUUGGUUUCUCCUUUCUGAAGAACCAUGAUGUCAUUUAUUUGGUGUCGUGGGGAAUCAGGACUGUUACUUUGAAAAAAUUAGAGUGUUUAAAGCAGGCUCACGCUUGAAUACAUUAGCAUGGAAUAAUGAAAUAGGACGUUUGAUUCUAUUUUGUUGGUUUCUAGGAUCGACGUAAUGAUUAAUAGGGAUAGUUGGGGGCAUUAGUAUUCAAUUGUCAGAGGUGAAAUUCUUGGAUUUAUUGAAGACUAACUACUGCGAAAGCAUUUGCCAAGGAUGUUUUCAUUAAUCAAGAACGAAAGUUAGGGGAUCGAAGACGAUCAGAUACCGUCGUAGUCUUAACCAUAAACUAUGCCGACUAGGGAUCGGAUGAUGUUAAUUUUUUAAUGACUCAUUCGGCGCCUUAUG